rnacentral:rRNA from 1 species
GACGAACGCUGGCGGCGUGCUUAACACAUGCAAGUCGAACGGAAAGGCCCUGCUUUUGUGGGGUGCUCGAGUGGCGAACGGGUGAGUAACACGUGAGUAACCUGCCCUUGACUUUGGGAUAACUUCAGGAAACUGGGGCUAAUAUCGGAUAGGAGCUCCUGCUGCAUGGUGGGGGUUGGAAAGUUUCGGCGGUUGGGGAUGGACUCGCGGCUUAUCAGCUUGUUGGUGGGGUAGUGGCUUACCAAGGCUUUGACGGGUAGCCGGCCUGAGAGGGUGACCGGCCACAUUGGGACUGAGAUACGGCCCAGACUCCUACGGGAGGCAGCAGUGGGGAAUAUUGCACAAUGGGCGGAAGCCUGAUGCAGCAACGCCGCGUGCGGGAUGACGGCCUUCGGGUUGUAAACCGCUUUCACCUGUGACGAAGCGUGAGUGACGGUAAUGGGUAAAGAAGCACCGGCUAACUACGUG